ACGAAUGUAAUUAGGAGACUUAGGGAAGGAAUACCAGGAGUCCGCCAGGCCGAGCUCUGGGUCAUUAAUAAUGGCCUUCGAUUUGGAUACUGCUCUUUGAGUAGAAGCUUUAGAAAUCUCCGCAUCAGUUCUGAAGGCCCGAAGUUUGAGAUCAAGGUAUCAUUAGGGUCAUGCUCACCCUGAAGACACCAAGCAAGGAUCUAUUCCGGGCCUCUCUCCCAGCUUCUGAGAGACAGAGCAUGAGCAGGGGAGGGGCAGAGAGAGAGGGAGACAGAGAAUCUGGAGCAGGCUCCAGGCUCCGAGCUGUCAGCACAGAGCCCGACGUGGAGCUCGAACUCACAGACCGCGAGACCACGACCUGAGCCGAAGUUGGAUGAUCAACCGACUGAGUUAAUGUCAAGAUCAAGCUAGAAUACAAGCCACUGGACAGUUAACAAGUGUCAGGAGUCUUGUUUCUGCUCAAGAUAGGAUCCAUUUUUAUCUCAGUCCCCAAACACCAAAAAUAGCUCUUUCCAUCACAUUCUUCCCUUCCUCCACUGCACCUCCACAGUGGUUCAGGGCACUGGUAGGCCCAGAGAACACACCCAGAACAGGUCUCAGGGCAGAGAGUGCGUGUAAAGCCAGUGCCCAAGUGACAGAAGAAGAUCCAGCUGGCAGCCAGCCUGGUGCAGUGUGUGUAGGACGCAAGAAGCAACGACUCAGCCUGGCAAGAAGCCAAAACAGGCAACAGUCCUCAGAGGAGGGCCAGUCGAGACCGGGCAACACAAGAGGAAGAGAAAUCUGAACACAUCAGAACACAAACCAAGGAUCUGUUUUUCACUAGUUCCUGAAUGAUAAAGAAGUAGAAUUGUGUCUCAGAUCCCAAGGCAUACCCUCAUCUGAAGUUGUGCGUUUAGAGAUUUCUAAGUAAGCUGUGUGGUAACAUGCAUCUAGUUCUCUUUCCAGUGUGUUGGUCUAAUCUUUUCCCAGCAAACACUUUUGGUAAGUUCCUAAAGUCCUAAAGGACCCUCUCAGGGAUCACUUUGGAUGGUUGUCUAGAUGGAGUUGACCCUACCUAAUAAUUCAAAGCUAUUCAGUGGCUGUAGCAGGAAAACUCAGAAAGCCACCUUCCCUCCAGAAUGGAGCUUAAAGAAGUCUACUUCAGUCUGAGUCUGUUACACUUUGCACCCCUACUACCCAGCAGGGACUGUGUCUUGAUUUUUACUUCCCAUAGUGCCAAGUAUUGUGCAUGCUAGGCAUUCAAUAAAUAAAUAUAAAUAUAUAAAAACUA